CCUACGGGGGGCAGCAGUGAGGAAUAUUGGUCAAUGGGCGAGAGCCUGAACCAGCCAAGUCGCGUGAAGGAUGACGGCCCUACGGGUUGUAAACUUCUUUUGUCAGGGAGCAAUUGAGUCCACGUGUGGGCUUAGCGAGAGUACCUGAAGAAAAAGCAUCGGCUAACUCCGUGCCAGCAGCCGCGGUAAUACGUAGGGGGCAAGCGUUAUCCGGAAUUACUGGGUGUAAAGGGAGCGUAGACGGCUGUGCAAGUCUGGAGUGAAAGGCGGGGGCCCAACCCCCGGACUGCUCUGGAAAAUGUAUGGCUGGAGUGCAGGAGAGGUAAGCGGAAUUCCUAGUGUAGCGGUGAAAUGCGUAGAUAUUAGGAGGAACACCAGUGGCGAAGGCGGCUUACUGGACUGUAACUGACGUUGAGGCUCGAAAGCGUGGGGAGCAAACAGGAUUAGAUACCCCUGUAGUC
rnacentral:rRNA from 1 species